rnacentral:piRNA from 1 species
AGGAAGUCACACUGGAAAGGGAUUCC